GGUGGUGGAGUUAGAGCAAAUAUAAGGAAGACCUAUCAACAACUAAGAGUCAAUGGGCACAUAGACGAUUAGAGUUGGAGAGUAAUGGCCCUCUCAAAAGGUUACUAAAGAUUUAGGGAUUAAGGUUACUAUCAAAAUCUAAUCAUGGUUUGUUAUCCUUAAUUUUUUUUCUUUGAAUUCUAUUUUCAUCUCUCGUGGCUCUCA
rnacentral:lncRNA from 1 species